rnacentral:rRNA from 1 species
AGGAUGAACGCUGGCGGCGUGCCUAAUACAUGCAAGUCGAGCGGUAAGGCCCCUUCGGGGGUACACGAGCGGCGGACGGCUGAGUAACACGUAGGAACGUACCCAAACUGAGGGAUAAGCACCAGAAAUGGUGUCUAAUACCGCAUGUGGUCUUCGGAUUAAAGCUUCGGCGGUUUGGGAACGGCCUGCGCAUGAUUAGCUUGUUGGUGAGGUAAAAGCUUACCAAGGCGACGAUCAUUAGCUGGUCUGAGAGGAUGAUCAGCCAGACUGGGACUGAGAACGGCCCAGACUCCUACGGGAGGCAGCAGUAGGGAAUUUUCCACAAUGGGCGAAAGCCUGAUGGAGCAACGCCGCGUGCAGGACGAAGGCCUUCGGGUUGUAAACCACUUUCAGCAGGGACGAUUGUGACGGUACCUGCAGAAGAAGCCCCGGCCAACUACGUGCCAGCAGCCGC